rnacentral:rRNA from 1 species
AUUGAACGCUGGCGGCAGGCCUAACACAUGCAAGUCGAACGAGCGGCGGAGGGGUGGUGAAUGUGUGGGGACUGCCCGCUAAAGGGGGAAAACUACUGGAAACGGUCGCUAAUACCGCAUACUAUCGGAUAUCCGAUGUGGGUGUAGCAGGUAGGUGAGGUAAUGGCUCCCCUAGGCGACGACCCCUAGCUGGUCGGAGAGGAUGAUCAGCCACCAUGGAACUGAGACACGGCCCAGACUCCUACGGAGGCAGCAGUGGGGAAUAUUGCACAAUGGGCGCAAGCCUGAUGCAGCCAUGCCGCGUGUAUGAAGAAGGCCCUCGGGUUGUAAAGUACUUUAAGUCGGGAGGCGGUACCUAAAGAAGAAGCACCGGCUAACUCCGUGCCAGCAGCCGCGGUAAUUC